rnacentral:rRNA from 1 species
AUGGACAUCUGUGAGGAUCCGCUCCGCGGCAUCUACCUCUACGGCUUCCAGAAGCCCUCCGCCGUCCAGCUGCGCGCCGUCAUCCCCAUCAUCAGUGGCCGCGUCGUCAACACCCAGGCCAAGUCGGGGACCGGCAAGACCUCCAUCACCCCCCUCCCCGUCUGCCAGGUCGUCGUGAGCAACGUCCACGGGCUUGCGUGCUGUGUGCCGGCCAUCGAGCCAGUGGCUAUCUAUGAUGCUCAUCACCACAUUAUGAUGCCCAGAUACGGUACCAGUUCUAAAGGUACCAACACCUGGGACGGGUUCGAGAUACGGGUGCAUAAGAGGGUGAUCAACCUCGUCAGCUCCCUGUCAGGCAGAUUGCCAUUGAGAGGACAUGUCCAGACUAUGCUGAUGGCAAGGACUGGCAAGUCUGAUGCCAUGACUGCAUUUGUUUUGCAGGAAACCUCCGCAAAGAACAAACUGAACCUGUCCAAGCAAGUUUCUUUUGCUGUACCCGCCAUCUCUGUUUGUGAAUUCAUGGAUCACCAUGAACCAAGUUCCAAGCUGAGGUACCAACACAUGGGAUGGGUUCGAGAUAUGGGUGCACAAGAGGGUGAUCGACCUCGUCAGUUCCCCGUCAGGCAGAUCACCCUCAAGAGGACUGCAUUUGUUUUGCAGGAAACCUCCGCAAAGAACAAACUGAACCUGUCCAAGGUGAAGUUCCAUCAGAUAACAAGGUCGAGGAGCUUCGUGGUGCAGUGCUGUACUGUGAAGGAGAAGUGUGAAGAGGGAGAAUCUGCUGCAGUUAACUACUUCAAGGAAUGCCAUCGUGCCAUGGUUUGGCUGCACCUUAACAGCGGCGGUGGUGGCCACCUCUUCUACGACUCCGGCACAGGCCGUGUUGCAUUCAUUGGAGAGAAACCUGACUUGGCAGUUUCUUUGCAUAUUACAGGGUAA